AGUCACUGCUAUUGGGAUUCGACUAAGCCAUGCGAGUCGAGAGGGUUCGGCCCUCGGCUGACGGCUCAGUAACACGUGGAUAAUCUGCCCUUAGGUGGAGGAUAAUCUCGGGAAACUGAGAAUAAUACUCCAUAGAUCUAGGAUGCUGGAAUGCACUUAGAUUGAAAGCUCCGGCGCCUAAGGAUGAGUCUGCGGACUAUCAGGUUGUGGUCAGGGUAAUGACCUGACUAGCCUACGACGGAUACGGGUUGUGAGAGCAAUAACCCGGAGACGAUAUCUGAGACACGAUAUCGGGCCCUACGGGGCGCAGCAGGCGCGAAAACUUCACACUGUGCGAAAGCACGAUGAGGGAAUCCCAAGUGCCGACUCGUAAGAGUUGGCUGUUUCUCUGUCUAAAAAAUAGAGAGAGUAAGAGCUGGGUAAGACGGGUGCCAGCCGCCGCGGUAAUACCUGCAGCUCAAGUGGUGGCCACUAUUAUUGGGCCUAAAACGUCCGUAGCCGGUUUAAUAAAUGCCGGGGUAAAUCGUGUAGCUUAACUAUACGAAUUCCGGGUAGACCGUUAGACUUGAGACCGGGAGAAGCUAGAGGUACUCCUGGGGUAGAGGUGAAAUUCUGUAAUCCUAGGGGGACCACCAGUGGCGAAGGCGUCCGACCAGAACGGACCUGACGGUGAGGGGCGAAGGCUAGGGGAGCGAACGGGAUUAGAUACCCCGGUAGUCCUAGCUGUAAAGCAUGCGGGCCAGGUGUCUAGCGCUCCUUGAGGGCGCUAGGUGCCGGAGGGAAGCCGUUAAGCCCGCCGCCUGGGAAGUACGGCCGCAAGGCUGAAACUUAAAGAAAUUGGCGGGGGAGCACCACAAGGGGUGAAGCCUGCGGUU
rnacentral:rRNA from 1 species